rnacentral:rRNA from 1 species
UACGGGGGGGGCAAGCGUUGUUCGGAAUUACUGGGCGUAAAGGGCUCGUAGGUGGCCAACUAAGUCAGACGUGGAAUCCCCAGGCUCAACUUGGGAACUGCGUCUGAUACUGGAUGGCUUGAAUUCGGGAGAGGGAUGCAGAAUUCCAGGUGUAGCGGUGAAAUGCGUAGAUAUCUGGAGGAAUACCGGUGGCGAAGGCGGCAUCCUGGACCGAUAUUGACACUGAUGAGCGAAAGCUAGGGGAGCAAACGGG